AUUGAACGCUGGCGGCAGGCCUAACACAUGCAAGUCGAGCGGUUGAGGUAGCUUGCUACCGAUGCAGCGGCGGACGGGUGAGUAAUACAUGGGAAUCUGCCUGGUAGUGGGGGACAACGUUUCGAAAGGAACGCUGAUACCGCAUACGCCCUACGGGGAAAGGGGGGAGUCGCAAGACCUCUCGCUAUCAGAUGAGCCCA
rnacentral:rRNA from 1 species